rnacentral:rRNA from 1 species
AGAGGGGGCAAGCGUUGCUCGGAAUCACUGGGCGUAAAGGGCGCGUAGGCGGGAGGGCAAGUCGGUCGUGAAAUCCUCCGGCUCAACUGGAGAACGUCGGCCGAUACUGCCUUUCUUGAGGGAUGCAGAGGAGACUGGAAUUCCCGGUGUAGCGGUGAAAUGUGUAGAGAUCGGGAGGAACACCGGUGGCGAAGGCGGGUCUCUGGGCAUCUCCUGACGCUGAGGCGCGAAAGCGUGGGGAGCAAACGGGAUUAGAUACCCCGGUAGUCCACGCUGUAAACGAUGACGACUAGGUGUGGGGGGGUUCAGUCCUUUCCGUGCCGCAGCUAACGCAUUAAGUCGUCCGCCUGGGGAGUACGGCCGCAAGGUUGAA